rnacentral:rRNA from 1 species
UACGUAGGUGACAAGCGUUGUCCGGAUUUACUGGGCGUAAAGAGCGCGCAGGCGGUCGAUCAAGUCGAGUGUGAAAGCCCCCGGCUCAACUGGGGAGGGUCAUUCGAUACUGAUCGACUCGAAGGCAGGAGAGGGUAGUGGAAUUCCCGGUGUAGUGGUGAAAUGCGUAGAUAUCAGGAAGAACACCCGUGGCGAAGGCGGCUCUCUGGGACGGUACUGACGCUGAGACGCGAAAGCGUGGGGAGCGAACAGG